rnacentral:rRNA from 16 species
ACCACGGUGUGGUUCAUGACUGGGGUGAAGUCGGAACAAGGUAGCCGUAGGGGAACCUGCGGCUGGAUCACCUCCUU